UAGAAUAUAUCAAGUGGAAAAUGGUCUAUCCCAGAGCAUCACCUAUGGCAAAAAUUACAAAGAUGCUUCUCACCCUUAUGAUCAUUAUUCUUCUCCACACCACUCGCACCAGUAUCUGCAGCCAAGGUUUGUAUAUAUAUAUAUAUAUAUAUAUAUAUAUAUAUAUAUAUAUAUAUAUAUAUAUAUAUGCAGCGCUAUUCUACACCAAACUGUUAUACUGAACAGAAUUCAGUAUUGUUCACUAUUUUGUGGUACUCUACACCCUAGGUGUAGAAUACUAUUCUACACCAAACUGUUAUACUGAACAAAAUUCAGUAUUGUUCAGUACAUGUGUUUCAGUAUUUCAGGGUCCUGGGUGUACUCAUAAAUGAUACUGAACGUUGUUCAGUAUUGUUUAGUAUUUUUUCUACUCAAAUUUGACUUGCGGUGUAGAAUAAUAUUCUACACCUAGACUGUAGAAUAAUAUAUAUAUAUAUAUAUAUAUAUAUAUGCGUCAUGACUUGUUAAUAAAAAUACAUUGCCUGAACGUGAAAAGUUGAAAUUUAGCUGAUCAGUGAAUGUUAACAUGUGAGACAAGGAUAGCCACUAUUUUCCAAACUUUUUUUCGCUGAAUCACAUGGAUACCAAAUACAAACUGAAUUCCUACGAUGUAAUUGCUUAUUUCUCUAUCACUAUGUACACAACUUUUUCUUUUCACACAAGAAAUACAAAUACUGAGUACAUGUGACUAACAGGCGAUGCAGUGUUUGACGGCAGCAUCACAGGACACAACGCAUUAGAGUCUACAGAAACAUUCUGGCCACUGAACACACAAACACGGAAAGUAUGUGCACCAUGCGAAUGUUGCUCUGGGAACAAUUGCUACACCGCGCCUUCAUGUUGCUUAGAGCUAAUGUGCAAUCAACCCCAUAGACCAGUAGGCAGUUGUAUAACAAUUAAACGCUCUUGUACUUGUACCAAUUGUAGUUAAUCGCUGGUACCUUUGGUCAUAAUAACUACAAUUGACCAAAACUGAAUGCCAACAAAGCAUAUUCAGUUUCAAGCUAAUUAAUUG
rnacentral:lncRNA from 1 species